rnacentral:rRNA from 1 species
GACGAACGCUGGCGGCGUGCUUAACACAUGCAAGUCGAACGGAAAGGCCCUGCUUUUGUGGGGUGCUCGAGUGGCGAACGGGUGAGUAACACGUGAGUAACCUGCCCUUGACUGUGGGAUAACUUCAGGAAACUGGGGCUAAUACCGGAUAGGAGCUCCUGCUGCACGGUGGGGGUUGGAAAGUUUCGGCGGUUGGGGAUGGACUCGCGGCUUAUCAGCUUGUUGGUGGGGUAGGGGCUUACCAAGGCUUUGACGGGUAGCCGGCCUGAGAGGGUGACCGGCCACCUUGGGACUGAGAUACGGCCCAGUCUCCUACGGGAGGCAGCAGUGGGGAAUAUUGCACAGUGGGCGGACGCGUGAUGCAGCAGCGCCGCGUGCGGGAUGACGGCCUUCGGGUUGUAAACCGCUUUCGCCUGUGCCGAAGCGUGAGUGACGGUAAUGGGUAAAGAAGCACCGGCUAACUACGUG